rnacentral:rRNA from 1 species
CCUACGGGAUGCAGCAGUGAGGAAUAUUGGUCAAUGGGCGCUAGCCUGAACCAGCCAAGUAGCGUGAAGGAUGACUGCCCUAUGGGUUGUAAACUUCUUUUAUAUGGGAAUAAAGUGCAGUAUGUAUACUGCUUUGCAUGUACCUUAUGAAUAAGGAUCGGCUAACUCCGUGCCAGCAGCCGCGGUAAUACGGAGGAUCCGAGCGUUAUCCGGAUUUAUUGGGUUUAAAGGGAGCGUAGGCGGGUUGUUAAGUCAGUUGUGAAAGUUUGCGGCUCAACCGUAAAAUUGCAGUUGAUACUGGCAGCCUUGAGUACAGUAGAGGUAGGCGGAAUUCGUGGUGUAGCGGUGAAAUGCUUAGAUAUCACGAAGAACUCCGAUUGCGAAGGCAGCCUGCUGAACUGUAACUGACGCUGAUGCUCGAAAGUGUGGGUAUCAAACAGGAUUAGAUACCCCAGUAGUC